GGCACCGUGGCCUAAUGGUAAGGCGUUGCUUUCCGGUGUGCCCUUCCAAUGGGAGGGAUUAGGCGCUUGGCAAAGAUUGUGGGUUCGAGUCCCAUCGGUGUCG
rfam:Xylona heveae TC161 unplaced genomic scaffold L228scaffold_12, whole genome shotgun sequence.